GGGAUCGCAGCUACAUGCAGUCGAGGGGUACAGGGUGCUUGCACCGCUGACGACCGGCGCACGGGUGCGUAACGCGUAUACAAUCUACCUUAUAGAGGAGAAUAGCCCAGAGAAAUUUGGAUUAAUGCUCCAUGGUAUUAUUGAGUAGCAUUACUUAAUAAUUAAACAUUUAUGGCUAUAAGAUGAGUAUGCGUUCUAUUAGCUAGAUGGUAAGGUAACGGCUUACCAUGGCUACGAUAGAUAGGGGUCCUGAGAGGGAGAUCCCCCACACUGGUACUGAGACACGGACCAGACUCCUACGGGAGGCAGCAGUGAGGAAUAUUGGACAAUGGGAGCAAUCCUGAUCCAGCCAUGCCGCGUGCAGGAAGACUGCCCUAUGGGUUGUAAACUGCUUUUAUACAGGAAGAAAAAGGUGUACGUGUACACUGUUGACGGUACUGUAAGAAUAAGGAUCGGCUAACUCCGUGCCAGCAGCCGCGGUAAUACGGAGGAUCCAAGCGUUAUCCGGAAUCAUUGGGUUUAAAGGGUCCGUAGGCGGGAUAAUAAGUCAGUGGUGAAAGUUUGCGGCUCAACCGUAAAAUUGCCAUUGAUACUGUUGUUCUUGAGUUAUUGUGAAGUGGUUAGAAUGAGUAGUGUAGCGGUGAAAUGCAUAGAUAUUACUCAGAAUACCGAUUGCGAAGGCAGAUCACUAACAAUACACUGACGCUGAUGGACGAAAGCGUANGUAGCGAACAGGAUUAGAUACCCUGGUAGUCUACGCCGUAAACGAUGGUUACUAGCUGUUCGGACUAAUUGANGUCUGAGUGGCUAAACGAAAGUGAUAAGUAACCCACCUGGGGGAGUACGUUC
rnacentral:rRNA from 1 species